CGCGGCGGGUGGGAGCCGGAAGGGGCUCGGCGUGAGAGUGGCAGAAUGAGAGAGGAACUCCAAUUCAUUUCAAUAAUGUAUUAGCCAAAAAUUAUUUUUGGCACUGUGGGCUGAAUAUCCUUUUUCUUUCUGGAAACACUUUAUGUAAUAAAGGACUAAAGAAUUGUAAAACUGUUGCCUAGCAAACUGGAUCAUGGAGAAGCAGCUGGACCCCAUAAAGGAUGACUUGCCCUUAAUGGCCAACACUAGCCACAUGCUUGUAAAACAUUAUACAUUGGACUUGGAUGUGGAUUUUAAAAGUCAAAUUAUUGAAGGCAUCAUAGUUUUCUUCUUUGAGACUGGGAGCCAAUACAGGAAAACCAGCAGCACCAAUGAAGAAGGCUGUCAGUCACAGUUUGAUGAAACCUGCAAAAUUAGGGCAUCUGAACCCUGCCAGGUUCCUGUGACAAGUGUAAGUGCCUGCUCAUCUAAAACAGAAUAUAAUGAUUUUCCUGUCUGUGAUAAAGGUGGAAAAGAUACUUCUGAUAAAAAUGGUAACCAUAGCAACGAGGAACAGGCUUCUGGGAUUUCUAGUUCAAAGAACUGCUGUGACAUAGAGAAUCAUGGGAGCAUGGAUUUUUUGCUAGUGUUGGACUGCUGUGAUUUAUCCGUGCUAAAGACUGAGGAGGUUGAUGUUGCUGCUGUGGCAGGCAUUGAAAAAUUUACAAAGUCUGCCAACCCAACUGAUGCUUCUAAGGAUAUGGGAAAUCUCAGGAAUCAGAUUGUACAUGAACUUGUGACUUUACCUGCGGAUCGCUGGAAGGAACAGCUAUACUAUUACACUCGUUGCAGCCAGGCACCUGGCUGUGGAGAGCUUCUGUUUACAACUGGCAGUUGGAGCUUGGAGAUAAGGAAAUCGGGGGUUCGCACUCCAAGAGACUUUCCUCAUGCGAUAAGAAUAUGGUACAAAACCAAACCAGAGGGAAGAUCUAUUGCAUGGACUACAGACCAGAGUGGCAGACCAUGUGUGUAUACAAUGGGAUCACCAAUAAACAACAGAGCCCUUUUCCCAUGCCAAGAGCCACCUGUUGCCUUGUCAACAUGGCAAGCUACAGUCCGAACAGCUGCACACUUUGUUGUAUUGAUGAGUGGUGAAAACUCAGCCGAACCUGUCCAGCUUCAAGAAGGUGUCUUGAGCUGGUACUAUUACGUGACUAUGCCAAUGCCAGCAUCCACCUUCACUAUUGCCAUUGGGUGCUGGCAGGAAGUUAAACAGCAGCCCUUCACAGCUGAUGUUCAGACAAGCAGUGACUUUUCCUUGCCAUUUUCCCAAGCUGAUCUCAGAUGGCAUGAAGAAUGCUGUGGUCAUGUGGAGUAUCCCUGCCGUUUCCAAAAUCCUGCUGCCAGGUUGCAGGCAGUCAUUCCUUACAGAGUCUUUGCACCCUGCUGCCUUAUGGAAAGCUGCAAAGAACUUGUACUCCAGCUAAUUCCCCAGUGCCUCUCCGCUGCUUACACCACACUGGGUACCCAUCCUUUCUCCAGGCUUGAUGUUUUGAUAGUGCCUUCCAACUUUUCCAGUCUGGGAAUGGCUAGCCCCCAUGUCAUCUUCCUGUCUCAGAGUGUAUUACCUGGAGGGCGACAUCUCUGUGGAGCACGUCUAUGUCACGAAAUUGCUCAUGCUUGGUUUGGACUGGCCAUUGGUGCUCGAGACUGGACUGAAGAGUGGAUAAGUGAAGGGUUUGCCACGUAUUUAGAAGAUAUAUUUUGGGCUAAGGCUCAACAGCUGUCACGUGAUGAAGUAAAAGGGCAGCAGGAAUUGAAAGCUUUACUUCGCUGGCGACGACUCAGAGAUGAAGUGCAGAACUCUGAAGAAGAGCUACAAGUUUUACGGCCCAACAAAGAGAACACAGGAGAAGUGAGCGACUCUGGAGCAUCUGUUGUCAAACAUGGUCUUAAAGCAGAAAAAAUCUUCAUGCAGGUUCACUAUUUAAAGGGUUACUUCCUUUUGCGGUCUCUGGCAAGGACAAUAGGAGAGGCUUCAUACCUUGCAUCAUUAAGAAAAUUUGUCCAUAAGUUCCAUGGGCAGCUUGUCCUUUCUCAGGAUUUUCUUUACAUGCUCUUGGAAGACAUCCCUGAACAAAAAGAGUCUGGCUUAACUAUUGAAAGUAUCUUCCAGAACUGGCUUGACACUUCCGGAAUACCAAAGCCUUUGCUGGAGGAGGGUGAGACUUGGAAGGAGUGUCAGCUCGUCCAGCAAGUGAGCGGCGAGGUGGCAAAAUGGAUUCAGACAAACCAGAGGAUCAGAAAAAGCGGCAAAAGGAAAAGAAAGCAAGGUGAAGUCAUUUUCCAGAAGCUUCUUCCAGACCAGCUGGUCUUACUUCUGGAGUCUCUCUUGGAAGAGAAGACGUUAUGUCCUAGAACAUUGCAAUGCUUAGAGAAAACAUACGAGCUUCAUGAACAGGAUGCAGAGGUUCGACAUCGGUGGUGUGAACUUGUUGUUAAACACAAAUACAUACCUGGAUAUGGAGAUGUUGAGAAAUUUCUCAGAGAAGAUCAGGCAAUGGGUGUGUACCUCUAUGGUGAGCUAAUGGUGAAUGAAGAUGCAAAGCAACAAGAACUUGCCUACAAAUGUUUUGCUGCAGCACGAGAACAUAUGGAUGUGUCCUCAGCCAAAGUGGUGGCAGAGAUGUUAUUCUGAAGAGCCAGACAGAUGGUUAAAGGAAGAUGGCCAAUGCAAGCAGGGGAAACUCCUUUCUGGCAUUCAGUAGUGAACAGACCACCUAACAGCAAAUUCCCAGAAUAACCUACUCCCUGCUCAGGCAGCAACUGAAAUGGCUACCAUGAACAUACCCUUUAAAAGUCCGAACAAACAUUUAAAGGAAAACAUCAAUCACGAAUAUGAAGAACUUGCCAGACAGUGGGCUAAGAUCCUGGUUGACAAAAGAACCUCAGAAGCAAAACGUGUUGGGUGGAAAGCUCACAAAAUUCAAAAGGAUCUGGCUUAAAAGAGUCUUAGACUGGAAAGAAGCAUCAUCAGCAAAGCAGCCAAAGACACUGUAUUCUUGUUUAAAACAACUCCCUGAAGUAAAAAUACAGACUUUGAAAAGCUCUCUUUCAGUAUAAUACCUGGGAUCAGGGUUUAUAAACUUGGAGAUUGGAGGGAAGGGGAAAGCUACUUGAAGCACUGAUUUCAGGGCUCGCUGGCUGAUUCUGCACAAAAGCACUGCCCUGAAGGCUCCAAAGACCCCUUUCAGAAAGCGGGGAUUAUAGAAGAGAAGAAGCACAUUAGAUGGAUGAUGCAGAGCCAGCCUAUUAAAAAAAAAAAAAAAAAAAAAAAAUCUUCCAUUACUGAGCUCUACCAAAUACAUGCUAUUGUCUUCCACAAGCAAACUCGCAGAAGUUUUUGCCACAAAAUCAUAGUUUGUAUCAAUGCUGGAUCAUAAUUCAAGCACUGUGAAAGAGCAAGGAAAAGGAAAUAUCAAAGAUUUAAAAUAACCAUGCUAAACAGAGCAAAAAGAAUGCAAGCGCAGAUGUCUCUUUUUAAAGUUAUUCAUAACAUCAUUCUUUUUUUUUCUUUAAAGCAUCCUAAAACCAGCAAAUACUCCUCCUAAUACUUAAAUCAUGCACACCUCUCAAGAAGCCGAACACACGAAAAUGAGAAUGUAGAUAUUCACUGCUCAUUUUAUUCUUUCUGCCUUUACUGCUUAUUUCCUACCUGCCUGAAAGGACUUUUUUUAAAAGGAUAUUGAUUCUGUUUCAGAAAGUUAGAAGCAUUUUCAUAUACUUUGUCAGUGGUAGAAAAAUGACAGCACUGCAAAAGAAUGGUUACCAACCAAUAUCCAGCAACUGAGAAUUACAGGUACCAGGUACAGAUAACUACAGAAAACUGGGUAUCAAGUACAGAUAACAAUGAUACCAAUAGCAUUGAUACUUACAGGACUGACCAAACCUCUUUGCCAAUUUUUUUUAAAAGUAAUUACAAUUAUAUAGUUUUAAUAUGGAGAGAAUUUACAGAAUACCACUGAAUCUCACAUCUAAAUGGAUAAGAAAGAAAAACAAAGAAUGUAAUUCUUUCAUUGAAGAAUUUUAGAUUAUUUGUCAUCCUACCGAUAGCAAUCCACACAUUUGUUCUUUCUGAAUAAAUGUCUUAGAGUUUUUGGAAAACAAAGCAACUUUUCAAUUAGAAAACCGUACCUUUCAAGUAUAUUUCGCAAACAGAAAAACAGAUUGCUUGAUUUUGCUUUUGUACAUGUGUGGCUUCCAACAAAUGAAAAGCUGCAAUAAAUCACAGAAUCUGUAAGGUUGGAAGGGACAUCUGGAGAUCAUCUAGCCUAACGUAGUCACCUACAGCAUGUUAGGUGUACACCCAGGUGGGUUUUGAAUAUCUCCAGAGAAGGAGACUCCGCAACCUCUCUGGCCAACUUGUUCCAGUGACAUUGGCUUUCUUCCAGUCCUCAGGUACCUCUCCAGUUCUCCACAACCUUUCAAAGACAAUGGAGAGCUUUUUCAUUCAGAAAUACAUUUCUGAUUCAAGAAGACAGACAACUUUCUUCACAAAAAUAUAUUAAAUAUUUACUGGUUCUUCACAUGCUUGGAAGCAAAUAUUACAUGCAUAUUAAUAAACUGACUAAGAGGACAUGUAACUUCUGUAAUUUGGUUUGAUAUGACUCACUAGGAACAAAAUUGUAAGUAAUUACUCAACAGCAUUCCAGAAAGUAUCCUUCCACUUCUUACAGCCAAGGGAUACAUUAUUUCUUUUCUCCUGCACAAAAACAAAUGCUACACUCACAAAACUGUGUUAAUUUAAGAUAA